rnacentral:sRNA from 1 species
UUGGCAUCACUGGGUACUGAAUUCCUUUCUUUAUCCACAGAAGUACAGAACAGGCAGCAGUAGUGCACACACUUGUAUACUGUACUGCUUAUGUACCACAACUCUGAGCUGUUAGUCAAUGGGAUAGUAGUAGCUAAUCAGAUAGAAGCUCAUUUUCUAUGCUUCU